UGCUAGGCUUGGCCGGGACGUUCGGCGUGUCCUUAUACAUCGAAAUCGUCGAUAGCGAGGGCGACAGCCGAGGACGACGUAUCCAAUCCUUUGCCGGCCCCGGACCGCGACUAUGAGAUCCUGUCUGGCGGGGUCGAAGGCGGUUUGGAUAUCCAGCUGGAGAGCAGGACGCCUAACCCUAAUCGUGGGGAUCGGGCGAGGCCCUGACGGGAGCAACCUUACCACGAACUUACGGCGCUCGCCGGGUAGCGGGGUCGAGAAGCGUUCGGACCAGUCUGCAAAGGAGCGGGCGACAACCUCGGUGGCCUAGCA
rnacentral:SRP_RNA from 1 species